UUACUACAAAUGUAAUUGCACUUGCUACUCUUUUUUUAAAACUAAUGUCUGUUUGCAUAUUUUGGUAGUCGCUGUUAGAAAACUAAAAUUCGUCCUACCGGCAGAGGCAGACACGACACUCAUGAGUCGUAAAAAAGCGACAGGCAGACCAAAAAUAUCAACUUUAGCGUUAGUGAAAGAUUGAGCAGUCGGAUGUAUAUGUAGGGGGCAGCAGGGACUAUGUCCAAGGGCUUGACGACCCUCCCAGGUUACUGCGAGUUGUGGGGCUAGCCAAAAAUGUAGUGUGAUUUAACAGUGGGCUCUGAUCAACAUCUAUAAAAAGCUGCAUGUAACGGGCCCUACUAAAGCGACCUGUGGCUCUCAAAGCGCACUAGCCCAGUCCUGAUGUGGGGUGGGACUUUAAACAGAUCUGUCACGACGAUCCUCCACCGAGCGUCUGUUCACCAAAGAGGUGCGGCUCUCAACAGCGUCUGUUCUCCAUGUCAGGGGCGGCUGAUCAUCGUCCGGUGCCAGCAAGGGACUCUAAACAAAACUGCGCAAUACAGUUCUCCGGAAAUUACAAGCCAGCUUUAAAAUGAAAACAUCGUCGUUGUUCAAUAUAAGGACUACAGCAAAAACAAUUAAUAAGUAAUAAUUUAUCAUAUCAGAUUCAACCAUUGUUAAGCCGCCGAAUUUACACGACCUGUUGCGGCUUGUCCUACGUUGAAUUGAUAAGAUACUAGUAAUUCUGGCUUGCAAGGCUACCAAACAAUCGAUUCAAACUUGUCGAUCAAAUGUCGAUUUCGAACACCGAGACUAUAGGCUAUUCCAGGUGGUAUGUUGAAUAUUAGAAUGAUAAAAUAGUUAAUUCCCAGUGAAAUUGUUUCAUUGUUUGUAGCCUAAAUAGGCUAUCAGAUAUUCAAUUUAUUUGAAGGUUUUUAUCGUUGAGAAGAAAAAUACUAUAAAUAUACCGAAUAUCAGCAGGUUUUUUACGACUUUAUGGAUUUCUCGAUUUUUGCAAAUUUAUGGUAUUCUUAAUCUUUAUAUCGCACAAUGUGAGUUUUAUCAAACAAGUUACUCAAUACAAGAUAUCAGUAUUUUGAUAUCACUAUAUGAUCCAUACAUCAUGAUAAUAUCAAA